rnacentral:snRNA from 12 species
AACCUUACCUGGCAGGGGAGAUAUCAUGAUCAACAGGUUUUCCCAGGGUGAGGCCUGUCCAUUGCACUUUGGGCAGGCAGGCUGACCCCUGUGAGUAAUAUGGGAAACUUGACUAAAUAAUUUUGUGGUAGUGGGGGUGUUUGUACCCUGG